CGCGUUUGUAACCUACCUCUAACUGGAGAAUGCCCGAAGAAAUUCGGAUUAAUACUCCAUAAUGCUAUGAUUCGGCAUCAUUUAUAGUUAAAGCUCCGGCGGUUAGAGAUGGGCAUGCGUGACUCACCUGGGGGUGAGGUAAUGGCUCACCAAGACCACGAUGUCUAGGGGGUCUGAGGGAUGGUCCCCCACACUGGUACUGAGACACGGACCAGACUCCUACGGGAGCAGCAGUGAGGAAUAUUGGUCAAUGGGCGAAAGCCUGAACCAGCCAUGCGCGUGAAGGAUGACAGCCCUACGGGUUGUAAACUUCUUUCGUACGGGAGAAACACUUCUACGUGUAGAAACCUGACGGUACCGUACGAAUAAGCAUCGGUAACUCGGGGCCAGCAGCCGCGGU
rnacentral:rRNA from 1 species